AUGGGAUCCAAUGUGAUGAGGCAUAUCAGUGUCAGAAUGCAAACACUCUCACCACCAUCCAUGGAACAAGAACAUCAGUUACUGAAGGGAUUGUGCUCUAAGUCGUGCUGUCCACCAUCAGUGCUUCACCGUGGCAGCUUGCACUGGUGUCCUUAUGAUGCCAAUGAAAUUGGGGGACGCAACACAAAUAUUAUUGUGUUCGACACAGAAGCCGAGUCAUUCCGGUGGAUUGGCAGUCCCACCCAGCUGUGCCAUCAUAGAAAGUUGUUCGACAUGAACGGGACACUUGCUUUAUGGGGCAGCUUGACUCCCAGCUUGACCGCUAUGGAUGUCUGGGCGAUGCAGGAUUACGUCUGGAGUUUCAAGUACCGGAUCGACGUGACGCUGGAGGUACCACGACAACUUUAUUCUACCUCUUGCAAAAAGAAAAAGAGAACACCACUUGAUUCAACAGUGCAAUGGCUCAAUGAUAUGGUUGUGUUGAACGACCGUGAGGUGCUGAUCAUGUUUAACAGUAAACAUGUAAUGCGUUGUGACAUUGAGGGAAACUUCUUAGAAAUGGUGAACAUCGGAAAGCGUUAA
rnacentral:rRNA from 1 species